UGUGUGUGUGUUGGUUUUUGUGGUUUAUGAGGACUUUUGGCCUGACUUUUCACCUACAGCACGGGGACCCAGGUGAUCUACAGGGACUUACCCAAAGUCCCUGUAAAUCGAGCAAUGUAUUCAUGCUCAGGAGGCUCUAAAAUACCCCCUCUCUCUUUUUUAGCCAAAGACCCUAUAGGUCACUUCACCUGUUUUUUUGUGUAUAAUUGUGUAUGUCACUGCGCCCCUGGUUACUCUUGUGGUACUGCACCUUCAUACACAUUUCUGAUACACACGGUUGAAAAUGGCGGGCCUUUUUCUGAUUGGUUCAUGAAAAAGUGGGCGGGCUGAGGAUUUAGGGGGACGUAUACACGCGCCCCUUUAACUGCCUGGAAGCACGUGACAGCUGGAGGAGACCGUCUCUCAAUCAGGUAAGACCGUAUUUAUUGACGUUCAUUAAGGCUGUCUGACCUGGCGAACACUGUGAUAGCCUCUCAGUGCAUUUAUGACUUUUACCACAGUUCAUUGAAGAAACCACGCGGUGCGGCGCAUUUUUAGAUUAGAUUAGAUGAGUUUAGAUGCGGGUGCAAAUACGCAUGUGCGAUGCUCUCGUUUCGACGUUAUUAAAUGGCGACUCAUGUCGCUGCAUUAGGGCUUUCAAUUAACGACUGAAUACCGUCAGAGUGGAGCGUCUCACUGAACAGAACGGACUUCACGGCGGUUGACGAUGAAUAAUACGAAGUACAUGACACGCGGUUAGUUUUGUUGGAUCUCCUGACGGGAAUCCACGUCAGAACCGAGACUCCCAUCGGCAGUGAAUGCGGGGAACGGCGCACGCGCGCUGAUGCGCAUCGUUUAUGUUUCAAAGUUAAACUCGAUUGAAAAUCUUUGAACGAUGUUUAGAAAUUUCGCCGGAAGUUCUUUCACUUUCUCGACGUAUUUCUUGUAUGUACGAUCAUCUCAACUGUAACUCAACUUGAUUACUGUGAGAAGUAAUCAAGUUGAGUGUGAACUGUGAGAAGUGAUAACUGAUAAAUAAAUAAUAAAUAAUCAUAAAUAAUGACCGUUGAUUUGGUCUGACUUCCUGGGAAGGUUUCAGAGCAGCUAAUGAACGUAGCUUUUCAAAAUAACGGGAAAAGAACAAGUCAUGGAGCAAAUGACUGCUCAUACUAUUUUAGGUUAUUAAUACGGGGCUGUUGUUCAGCUUGUUUUCAAUCAAGUGUAGCUGAUACACUCAUAAUGCAUGUCCAAAAGAACAGAUGAAGUCUUGUCCUCUCUUUCAGGCAUAUUCCACGUAAGAAAAAAAGAAGAAUCAGGAAAAUCAAAUGAGUCCUGUCGACAACCCACCGAGACAGCAGUGUGACGUGCAUCAGGUGGUCUGUGCCACUGUAUCCAGUCUGGAGAAGUGUGCUGCCUGUGUGGGGCCUGUUGCAGCCUUCAAGUGGGGGGGAUACAAAUGCAAAACUUGUUUAAACGUCUGGCAUAAAAUAUGCCUCAGACGAACAAAGACAGACUUCGUCCAUGUGUCAGAGGUACAGUUUGAUGAUGGUUCUGUAGAUGAGCAGUUGCCAGGCAAUGGACCACCACAAAACAUAUCUGAGGAUGACACCAGUCAGUCUGAUGCAGACUUUGUGCCAGACUCUGUGGAAGAAUCUGAAGAUGACAUUCCAGUCAUUUCACCAUCGAAGAAAUUUAAAAAAGCAUUUGCAGAACUAGUUAAUGACCUCAUCGGAACAGAUGAGAGCACCUCAGAUAGGCCCGGGUCCUCUAAAGAUCUGUUGCCUCCUGAAGACCCUGACAGUCCACCACCGAGACCAAACCUGAGUGAAGAAGUGAGUGGAGCAGAGCAUCAAGUGGAAGAAACAACUGCAGCGACGCUAAGUUCUAAAAACUCCUGCUUCAUUUGUGGAAAGUCUGUGAGAAAGAUGGCCCGUCAUCUGCAAACCCACUCAAGCAACUUAGAAGUUUCACAUGCUUUUUCAUUUCCCCCACACUCAAAAGAACGUAAAAAAGCAUUGGACAUGUUGAGGAACAGGGGCAACUUCCAACACAACACAGAGGUUCUACAAACUGGGAAGGGAGAGCUGAAAAUCAAAAGAAAGCCAGAUGGUGACCCAGUGAGAGAAAAAUUUAUCCACUGCAUCUAUUGCCAAGGCAUGUUUGUUCGGAAACAUCUGUGGAGACAUGUAAAGCGAUGUGCCCGUAAGCCAGAGGAUGAAGAACAACGGCCUGGGAGAAGACGAGUACUCGGUACUGCUGCCUCGCUGGAGUCUGCAUCCCAGCAACAGGUCUCCACUGGAGUAUGGAAGCUGUUAACUGCCAUGAACCAGGAUGAGGUCGCCUCAGUUGUGCGUAACGACUUGACCAUCGUUCAGUUCGCACAAUCCCUGGUCAACAAACAUGGACAAGACGCAACAAAAAAUGAAUACAUGAGGCAAAAACUCAGAGAAGUUGGCCGUCUGCUGCUGUGCCUACAGAAGGACUUCUCGGUGGCAAACAUGGAGGACGCCGUAAAACCACCAAACUUCCCAAAGGUUCUCAACGCAGUGAAAAAAGUCUCUGGGUAUCAGGAGCAAAACAACACAUACAGCACACCGAGUCUUGCGUUAAAAUUAGGACACACACUACACAAAAUUGCAGAUAUCGUUCAUUGCAGGGCUCUUGUGGCAGAAGACGAAGCGCUAAUGAAGUCCACUGAUAUGUUCAAGAAGCUGUACACCUCAAAGUGGUCUGAGGUCAUCUCACAUGGGGCCUUGACUACUUUAAGUGAUGCCAAGUACAAUAAGCCCUCCACUUUGCCCUUCACAGAAGAUGUCAAGUUGCUUCAUGGCUACUUGGAAAGGAAUGUGUCAACUGGUGUCAGUAAACUGAAAGAGGUGGCCUCCUGCCAGCACUACAGUGCACUUGCACAGAUCUUGCUGGCCCAAAUCAUCGUCUUCAACCGAAGACGUGCAGGGGAGGUCUCAAAGAUGCUGGUGGAGAGUUUUGAGAGUCGGGAUGAUCAUGAACUGCAUGAGGAUGUGGCACUGGGUUUGUCCAAGCUUGAACAGAGGCUCUGUAGCUACUUCUCCAGAGUGGAGAUCAAAGGGAAACGGGGUCGAAAGGUGGCAGUCCUCCUGACACCAAAAAUGGUCGAUGGCCUUUCUCUGCUUGUGAGCAAACGAGUAGAGUGCCACGUUUGUGCCUCAAAUGCAUUUCUGUUUGCCCGACCGAAAGCCAUGAGCCACUACCGUGGGCAAGAUGCACUCCGUGUUUGUGCUAAUCUAUGUGGUGCGAAGCACCCAGAGCACCUGAGAUCGACUCAGCUCAGGAAGCAUGUGGCGACACUCUCUCAAGUGCUCAACUUGAAACACAACGAACUGGAUCAAGUUGCCGAUUUCCUGGGUCAUGACAUCCGUGUGCACCGUGACUUCUACAGGCUGCCCGUGCCGACAACUCAGCUGGCCAAGAUUUCCAAGUUGCUGCUCACUCUUGAGAAGGGAACGCUGUCCAAGAUUCAAGGCAAGAGUUUGGAUGACAUUGAAAUCCAAGAUGAACUAGACACCAGUGACACCGAGGAGAUGGACGGUGGCAGUGACUCUGGUGAUGAGGCAGAAGUGUCCGGUUCAGGAAGCAGCACCAGCAAAUGCAUGGAUGCUGCGCCAGAGUGUUCAGCCACAGAACAAGUUGGCGACACAGAGGACUUCAAUGAAGCACUGGCUCCAGUGACAUCCAGUGUACAAGGGCCAACCCCUGUGUGUGGAGGUGAGGCCAGGCUGACAUCAUGUUGAGGCAAUAUGCUCCACGCUGCAGAGCACUUGCCCUGUCUUCAUCAUCCUUCCACUCCUUCAACACGUCCAUGAGUUUCAGGCACUCUUCCCUCCGCUCAGCACUUCAGGUCCUCCAGUCCUCUUGCCUGAUCUCUGAUCAGGAAACUUUUUCUUUUUCCUCCUUCUUAUUCAUUCACCACCAAGCAGGAGGAUGACUCCUCUGAUCAUCCUUAUCGAGCUCUUAGGGCCUCAACCUCCAUCCAUGAAUGUUCACCAUGUCAUCUUGCACUCAUCCUUUAGUCCCUUCACCUUUAACUCCAGUCAGAACCUGACUCUGAUGCGGAACCAGACUCCGCUCAAACAAGGUCCAGACGGGUGAAGAAGAAGCCCUGGUCAAAGACUGAGGUGGCAGCAGUCAUGCGUCACUUCAGGAAACACAUUGAAGCCGGG